rnacentral:rRNA from 1 species
UAAUACGGAGGAUGCAAGCGUUAUCCGGAAUUAUUGGGCGUAAAGCGUCCGCAGGUGGUUGGUCAAGUCUGCUGUCAAAGCGUGGAGCUUAACUCCAUAAGGGCGGUGGAAACUGAUUAACUAGAGGAUGGUAGGGGUCACGGGAAUUCCCAGUGUAGCGGUGAAAUGCGUAGAUAUUGGGAAGAACACCAGCGGCGAAAGCGCGUGACUGGGCCAUUACUGACACUCAUGGACGAAAGCUAGGGGAGCGAAAGGG